rfam:Arenibacter sp. C-21 DNA, contig: C21_contig0011.
AUAGCAGGUCGCCUUAUCGCUCCCCGCUUUCCGUGGGGGGAGGAAAGUCCGGACACCAUAGUGCAGUAUAGCGGGUAACGCCCGUCCGUCGAGAGAUGAGGACAAGUGCAACAGAAAGUAUGUACAGGUUAUGCUGUAGUGAAACCAGGUAAACUCUAUACGGUGCAACGUCAUGUAAAUCAGUGUUUGAGGGCUGCACGCCCAAGCUGAAGGGUAGGCGGUUAGAGCCUUUGGGCAACCAUUGGCCUAGAUAAAUGAUAGGGAGGCCAUGAAGUAAUUCAAGGCUAACAGAAUCCGGCUUAUGACCUGCUUUUUUU